UACGGAGGGUGCAAGCGUUAUCCGGAUUCACUGGGCUUAAAGCGUGUGUAGGCGGAUGCCUAAGUACCUUGUGAAAUCCCACGGCUUAACCGUGGAACUGCUCGGUAUACUGGGUGUCUUGAGCCACUUAGGGGCUACCGGAACAAAUGGUGGAGCGGUGAAAUGCGUAGAUAUCAUUUGGAACGCCAAUGGUGAAAACAGGUAGCUGGGAGUGUGCUGACGCUGAGACACGAAAGCCAGGGGAGCAAACGGG
rnacentral:rRNA from 1 species